GACGGAGGGAGUAGUCAUAACUUGGCAAGUGAAGAACUAUGCUCCAAGCUCCAAUUGGUCAAGAUGAAGCACCCACAUCCCUACAAAGUUCAAUGGCUAAGCGACUCCGGCACUACCCAAGUCGAGCAUAGGGUACAAGUUCCCUUCAAGAUCGGAGCAUACGAAGACAUUUUGGAGUGUGAUGUCGUUCCGAUGUCCGUUUGCCACCUCCUUCUUGGACGGCCAUGGCAAUUUGACCGAGGUGUCAUCCACAACGGUCGUACAAAACACUAUAGCUUCAAGAUGAAAGGAAAGGAGUACGUGCUA
rnacentral:rRNA from 1 species